GACGAACCGCUGGCGGGCGUGCCUAAAUACAUGCAAGUAGAACGCUGAAGAGAGGAGCUUGCUCUUCUUGGGUGAGUUGCGAACGGGUGAGUAACGCGUAGGUAACUUGCCUUGUAGCGGGGGAUAACUAUUGGAAACGAUAGCUAAUACCGCAUAACAAUGGAUGACUCAUGUCAUUUAUUUGAAAGGGGCAAAUGCUCCACUACAAGAUGGACCUGCGUUGUAUUAGCUAGUAGGUGAGGUAACGGCUCACCUAGGCGACGAUACAUAGCCGACCUGAGAGGGUGAUCGGCCACACUGGGACUGAGACACGGCCCAGACUCCUACGGGAGGCGGCAGUAGGGAAUCUUCGGCAAUGGGGGCAACCCUGACCGAGCAACGCCGCGUGAGUGAAGAAGGUUUUCGGAUCGUAAAGCUCUGUUGUAAGUCAAGAACGAGUGUGAGAGUGGAAAGUUCACACUGUGACGGUAGCUUACCAGAAAGGGACGGCUAACUACGUGCCAGCAGCCGCGGUAAUACGUAGGUCCCGAGCGUUGUCCGGAUUUAUUGGGCGUAAAGCGAGCGCAGGCGGUUUGAUAAGUCUGAAGUUAAAGGCUGUGGCUCAACCAUAGUUCGCUUUGGAAACUGUCAAACUUGAGUGCAGAAGGGGAGAGUGGAAUUCCAUGUGUAGCGGUGAAAUGCGUAGAUAUAUGGAGGAACACCGGUGGCGAAAGCGGCUCUCUGGUCUGUAACUGACGCUGAGGCUCGAAAGCGUGGGGAGCGAACAGG
rnacentral:rRNA from 1 species